rnacentral:rRNA from 1 species
CACGUAGGGCGCAAGCGUUGUCCGGAAUUAUUGGGCGUAAAGAGCUCGUAGGCGGUCUGUUGCGUCUGCUGUGAAAACUCGGGGCUUAACCCCGGGCCUGCAGUGGGUACGGGCAGACUAGAGUGCGGUAGGGGAGACUGGAAUUCCUGGUGUAGCGGUGAAAUGCGCAGAUAUCGGGAGGAACACCGGUGGCGAAGGCGGUUCUCUGGGCCUUACCUGACGCUGAGGAGCGAAAGCGUGGGGAGCGAACAGG